rnacentral:rRNA from 1 species
CCUACGGGUGGCUGCAGUGAGGAAUAUUGGUCAAUGGGCGAGAGCCUGAACCAGCCAAGUCGCGUGAAGGAUGACGGCCCUACGGGUUGUAAACUUCUUUUGUCAGGGAGCAAUUGAGUCCACGUGUGGGCUUAGCGAGAGUACCUGAAGAAAAAGCAUCGGCUAACUCCGUGCCAGCAGCCUCGGUAAUACGGAGGAUGCGAGCGUUAUCCGGAUUUGUUGGGUUUAAAGUGUGCGGAGGCGGAAUAUAAAGUCAGAGGGAAAAAUUCGGGUCUCAACCCCGUCGUGCCGUUGAAACUGAGGUUCUUGAGUGGGCGAGAAGUAGGCGGAAUGCGUGGUGUAGCGGUGAAAUGCAUAGAUAUCACGCAGAACUCCGAUUGCGAAGGCAGCAUACCGGCGCCCAACUGACGCUGAAGCACGAAAGCGUGGGUAUCGAACAGGAUUAGAUACCCGGGUAGUC